UACGGAGGGUGCGAGCGUUAAUCGGAAUUACUGGGCGUAAAGGGUGCGUAGGUGGUCUGAUAAGUUAUCUGUGAAAGCCCCUGGGCUCAACCUGGGAAGGCCAGAUAAGACUGUUGGACUCGAGUAUGGGAGAGGGUAGUGGAAUUUCCGGUGUAGCGGUGAAAUGCGUAGAGAUCGGAAGGAACACCAGUGGCGAAGGCGGCUACCUGGCCUGAUACUGACACUGAAGCACGAAAGCGUGGGGAGCAAACAGG
rnacentral:rRNA from 1 species